rnacentral:rRNA from 1 species
AGCAGCCGCGGUAAUUCCAGCUCCAAUAGCGUAUAUUAAAGUUGUUGCAGUUAAAAAGCUCGUAGUUGAAUUUCGGGGUCAGUAGGUUGGUCGUGCCACUGGUAUGUACUGGUCUCACUGAUUCCUCCUUCCUGAUGAACCGUAAUGCCAUUAAUUUGGUGUUGCAGGGAAUCUGGACUGUUACUUUGAAAAAAUUAGAGUGUUUAAAGCAGGCUAACGCUUGAAUACAUUAGCAUGGAAUAAUGAAAUAGGACGAUCGAUCCUAUUUUGUUGGUUUCUAGGAUUGACGUAAUGAUUAAUAGGGAUAGUUGGGGGCAUUAGUAUUCAAUUGUCAGAGGUGAAAUUCUUGGAUUUAUUGAAGACUAACUACUGCGAAAGCAUUUGCCAAGGAUGUUUUCAUUAAUCAAGAACGAAAGUUAGGGGAUCGAAGACGAUCAGAUACCGUCGUAGUCUUAACCAUAAACUAUGCCGACUAGGGAUCGGAUGAUGUUAAUUUUUUAAUGACUCAUUCGG